ensembl:lncRNA
AUGUGUUGCUGCCUUGCUAUGUUGUUGUCAUGUUGUGUUGCUACCAUGUUGUGUUGUCAUGCUGUGUUGCUACCAUGCUGUGUUGUCAUGUUGUGUUGUGUUGCUACCAUGCUGUGUUGUCAUGUUGUGUUGCUACCAUGCUGUGUUGUCAUGUUGUGUUGCUACCAUGUUGUGUUGUCAUGUUUUGUUGCUACCAUGUUGUGUUGUCAUGUUGUGUUGCUACCAUGCUGUGUUGUCAUGUUGUGUUGCUACCAUGCUGUGUUGUCAUGUUGUGUUGCUACCAUGCUGUGUUGUCAUGUUGUGUUGCUACCAUGUUGUGUUGUCAUGCUGUGUUGCUACCAUGCUGUGUUGUCAUGUUGUGUUGUGUUGCUACCAUGCUGUGUUGUCAUGUUGUGUUGCUACCAUGCUGUGUUGUCAUGUUGUGUUGCUACCAUGUUGUCAUGUUGUGUUGCUACCAUGCUGUGUUGUCAUGUUGUGUUGCUACCAUGCUGUGUUGUCAUGUUGUGUUGCUACCAUGCUGUGUUGUCAUGUUGUGUUGCUACCAUGCUGUGUUGUCAUGUUGUGUUGUCAUGUUGUGUUGCUACCAUGUUGUGUUGUCAUGUGUUGCUACCAUGUUGUGUUGUCAUGUGUUGUCAUGUUGUGUUGUCAUGUUGUGUUGUCAUGUUGUGUUGUCAUGUUGUGUUGCUACCAUGUUGUGUUGUCAUGUUGUGUUGCUACCAUGCUGUGUUGUCAUGUUGUGUUGCUACCAUGCUGUGUUGUCAUGUUGUGUUGCUACCAUGUUGUGUUGUCAUGUUGUGUUGCUACCAUGCUGUGUUGUCAUGUUGUGUUGCUACCAUGCUGUGUUGUCAUGUUGUGUUGCUACCAUGCUUUGUUGUCAUGUUGUGUUGCUACCAUGCUGUGUUGUCAUGUUGUGUUGCUACCAUGUUGUGUUGUCAUGUUGUGUUGCUACCAUGUUGUGUUGUCAUGUUGUGUUGCUACCAUGCUGUGUUGUCAUGUUGUGUUGCUACCCUGCUGUGUUGUCAUGUUGUGUUGCUACCAUGUUUAGUUGUCAUGUUGUGUUGCUACCAUGCUGUGUUGUCAUGUUGUGUUGCUACCAUGCUGUGUUGUCAUGUUGUGUUGCUACCAUGCUGUGUUGUCAUGUUGUGUUGUCAUGUUGUGUUGCUACCAUGUUGUGUUGUCAUGUGUUGCUACCAUGUUGUGUUGUCAUGUUGUGUUGUCAUGUUGUGUUGUCAUGUUGUGUUGUCAUGUUGUGUUGCUACCAUGUUGUGUUGUCAUGUUGUGUUGCUACCAUGUUGUGUUGUCAUGUUGUGUUGCUACCAUGCUGUGUUGUCAUGUUGUGUUGCUACCAUGCUGUGUUGUCAUGUUGUGUUGCUACCAUGCUGUGUUGUCAUGUUGUGUUGCUACCCUGCUGUGUUGUCAUGUUGUGUUGCUACCAUGUUUAGUUGUCAUGUUGUGUUGCUACCAUGCUGUGUUGUCAUGUUGUGUUGCUACCAUGCUGUGUUGUCAUGUUGUGUUGUCAUGUUGUGUUGCUACCAUGUUGUGUUGUCAUGUGUUGCUACCAUGUUGUGUUGUCAUGUUGUGUUGUCAUGUUGUGUUGUCAUGUUGUCAUGUUGUGUUGUCAUGUUGUGUUGUCAUGUUGUGUUGUCAUCUUGUGUUGCUACCAUGCUGUGUUGUCAUGUUGUGUUGCUACCAUGUUGUGUUGUCAUGUUGUGUUGCUACCAUGCUGUGUUGUCAUGUUGUGUUGCUACCAUGCUGUGUUGUCAUGUGUUGCUACCAUGCUGUGUUGUCAUGUUGUGUUGCUACCAUGCUGUGUUGUCAUGUUGUGUUGCUACCAUGCUGUGUUGUCAUGUUGUGUUGUCAUGUUGA